AGGAAGAUGUCCUCUGGUUGGAUUUUUUGAUAAUAGCAGUCUGAAAUACAAUGAUUUUCACCUUUGUCUUUCUGUCUUUGUUUUAUAUUAGGAGACAACAAGUUGUGAAGAAUGUGACGUCCUAGGAAAAUGACGAUGUGUAACUACACAAUGGGAAAAAACAGAGAGGAACCUGGAGCUGGGGCUGUCCUUCUGUUCCCCGUCAGCCUGGACAACCUCUGAGCUCCUGGCAUUUCUGGUCCUGGGGAGCUGCCAGCCUGCACAGUGCCAUGACAGACCAACAGCAAAGAUUCUGCUCAGGACUGUACACGGAGUGACAAAAAACAGAGUGGUGAAAGGUAAGAAAACCCCAUAGAAACGCACUGCACUAUAAACAGUGUUUACAAAAUAGAAUGUU
rnacentral:lncRNA from 1 species